rnacentral:ncRNA from 2 species
AAUGAGAGUUUGGUUGCUUUUCAUUAUAAAUCUUAUGGGACUUUUUUGAUAUUCAAAAAGCUCUAUAAUCUCUACAGUGGAUUUACCCAUUCAAGAGAUUAUAGAGCU